AUGGUCCGCACGAUGACUGAAGGCAUCGUGAAUAGGUUUUUGAGCUCCGCGAAGGCCAAGAUGCUUCAAAAGAACGAGACGGAGAUAAGAUGUUCGUGUCGAAGAUGUAAGCUGAAGAGCCUUAUUGUGGACCCAGAUUUCGGGCAGGUGCGGGACCACCUGCUCUUGCGUGGUUUCAUGGAUGGCUAUCGGUGGCAAGGUGAUGAAGAUGACUAUGAAGUCGUCCAUGGCCGGGGCCGGGCAAGAAAUGAGGAAGGGCAACAAGACAAGUACCACCGCGGCGAGGGCGGGCGAGAAGACGAAGAAUCUCCAGGACAUGAUCACGACGGUGAUGCUGUACACAGUCAUCAUGUAGAAGAUGUCGUACAUGAUGAUGAGGAAGAUCAAGACGAAGGGCAUGAUCAUGAAGAUGAAGAUGCCGGAGCAGACGACAAUGGAGGCUGGGUGCAGGACCCUCAUAUUCAAGAGCUGCUUCUCAAGCAGACGGAUAACGCAAGAGUUGCCGCCCGAGAGAAAGCCAAGCUGGAUCAACUAGAGAUAGACGUGGUUACUCCAUUGUAUGAAGGAUGCAGGCCCGAGGAUACCCGCCUGAAAGUAACGCUCAUGGCUCUGGAGAUGAAGGUAAAACACAAAAUGACCGACGCAUGCUUCGACAAGAACAUGUCAUUCUGGCACGAACGUCUUCCCAAGGGGAACAAGUGCCCGACCAGUUGCGAGGAGGCGAAGAAAAUCGUGUGUCCUCUGGAUUUACCGCACGUGAAAUACCAUGUGUGCAUGAACAAUUGUAUCAUUUAUUGGGACGAGCACGCGGAGUCUACCAUAUGUCCGGUGUGCGGCGUCACUCGAUACAAGAAGAGGAAGAAAGCUCCUCGAAAAUCAGUGUGGUACUUUCCGAUCACUCCUCGUCUGCAGCGGUAUUUCGCGGACCCUAAGGUAGCAAAGCUCCUGCGUUGGCACGCGGAUAGGGAGGAGAAGAAGCGGGAAGAUGACGGAAAUGAUCCGGAGAUAAAUAAAAAAGACAAGAUGCUGAGUCACCCUAAGGAUGCGAGCCAGUGGCAAGCGUUGAACUUCGAAUACCCAGAAUUUGGGAAGGAUCCAAGGAACAUCGUGCUGGGCGUGAGCACCAAUGGAGUCAAUCCGUUUGGCAGCCAGAGAAGCACACAUAGCACCUGGCCUGUGUUUGUGUGGAUGUACAACCUUCCCCCCUGGUUGUGCAUGAAGAGGAAGUACAUUCACAUGAGUAUGCUAAUUGAAGGGCCGAAACAACCAGGGAACGACAUCAAUCUGUAUCUGGGGCUGCUGAAGGAGGAGCUAGACAUGCUGUGGAAAACGCCAGCCAAUACGUGGGACGCUGCAGAGAAAGAAUAUUUCCCUUUGAGAGCCGCACUGCUCACGAUGGUGCACGACUAUCUUGGUUACGGAUAUCUCGCGGGGUAG
rnacentral:rRNA from 1 species